rnacentral:misc_RNA from 1 species
GAUGAAGAACGUAGCGAAAUGCGAUAAGUAAUGUGAAUUGCAGAAUUCAGUGAAUCAUCGAAUCUUUGAACGCAACUUGCGCCCUCUGGUAUUCCGGAGGGCAUGCCUGUUUGAGUGUCAUGUAGACUCAAUCCCUCGGGUUUCUGAGGAGGUUGUAUUUGGGUGCUUGCCUUCUGGCUCGCCUUAAAGGACUUAGCAGGAUAGCACUGUAGUCGACGUAAUAAGUCUCGUCGGUGAAAGUGUGAUGUCUGCUUACAGAUUGCCCUUGGGCACUUUUGACUCUGACCUCAAAUCAGGUAGGACUACCCGCUGAACUUAAGCAUAUCAAUAAGCGGAGGA